AUCACAAAUAUAAUAACAAUGAUCCAUGGAAACAAAAUCAUACAUAGCAAAUAUCCAUAUAUAUCAUAGGGUACACAUAUGAGUUCACAAAGUAUCACAUCUAGCUGGGCAUCUUCAAGUCAUGUACACUCUAGGAGCCCUUUCGACCAUCAGCCUCUACACACAUGCUAAGCUGCAACUAUGCUACUGGAAAGGAGACGAAGUAGAACUACUCGUUGUGUCGAGGGGAUGAAAGCGCCGCAUCAGGUUGCAUGUAGCUCCGUACACAUGCUAAGCUGCAACUAUGCUACUGGAAAGGAGACGAAGUAGAACUACUCGCUGUGUCGAGGGGAUGAAAGCGCCGCAUCAGGUUGCAUGUAGCUCCGUGUGACGAGUCAUCGCUAAAGCUCCAUCCCUUCUUCAUGUGUCCACUGAAAUUAACCAAACAAGAAAUAGGUUUCGAUUUAGCUUCAUCAUAUCAAAUAGAUUCAGACUCGAGAACAUCAUUCAUCAUACUAAAGGCAUUUUUUAUCAAUCAAAUAAACUUGUCAAGCA
rnacentral:lncRNA from 1 species